rnacentral:rRNA from 1 species
GACGAACGCUGGCGGCGUGCUUAACACAUGCAAGUCGAACGAGUGGCGAACGGGUGAGUAACACGUGGGUGAUCUGCCUUGCACUUCGGGAUAAGCUUGGGAAACUGGGUCUAAUUCCGGAUAGUGCAAGAUGUGGUCCCGGCCUAUGAGCUUGUUGGUGGGGGUAUGGGUUCCAAGGCGCGACGGGUAGCAGGCCUGGUAGGGGGUACGGCCACAUUGGGACUGAGAUACGGCCCAGACUCCUACGUGAGGCAACAGUGGGGAAUAUGGCACAAUGGGCGGAAGCCUGAUCCAGCCAUGCCGCGUGUGUGAAGAAGGUCUUCGGAUUGUAAAGCACUUUAAGUUGGGAGGCGUUACCGAAAGAAUAAGCACCGGCUAACUCUGUGCCAGCAGCCGCGGUAAUAG